rnacentral:rRNA from 1 species
AGUCGAGGGGCAGCAUGGUCUUAGCUUGCUAAGGCCGAUGGCGACCGGCGCACGGGUGAGUAACACGUAUCCAACCUGCCGUCUACUCUUGGACAGCCUUCUGAAAGGAAGAUUAAUACAAGAUGGCAUCAUGAGUCCGCAUGUUCACAUGAUUAAAGGUAUUCCGGUAGACGAUGGGGAUGCGUUCCAUUAGAUAGUAGGCGGGGUAACGGCCCACCUAGUCUUCGAUGGAUAGGGGUUCUGAGAGGAAGGUCCCCCACAUUGGAACUGAGACACGGUCCAAACUCCUACGGGAGGCAGCAGUGAGGAAUAUUGGUCAAUGGGCGAGAGCCUGAACCAGCCAAGUAGCGUGAAGGAUGACUGCCCUAUGGGUUGUAAACUUCUUUUAUAAAGGAAUAAAGUCGGGUAUGCAUACCCGUUUGCAUGUACUUUAUGAAUAAGGAUCGGCUAACUCCGUGCCAGCAGCCGCGGUAAUACGGAGGAUCCGAGCGUUAUCCGGAUUUAUUGGGUUUAAAGGGAGCGUAGAUGGAUGUUUAAGUCAGUUGUGAAAGUUUGCGGCUCAACCGUAAAAUUGCAGUUGAUACUGGAUAUCUUGAGUGCAGUUGAGGCAGGCGGAAUUCGUGGUGUAGCGGUGAAAUGCUUAGAUAUCACGAAGAACUCCGAUUGCGAAGGCAGCCUGCUAAGCUGCAACUGACAUUGAGGCUCGAAAGUGUGGGUAUCAAACAGGAUUAGAUACCCUGGUAGUCCACACGGUAAACGAUGAAUACUCGCUGUUUGCGAUAUACGGCAAGCGGCCAAGCGAAAGCGUUAAGUAUUCCACCUGGGGAGUACGCCGGCAACGGUGAAACUCAAAGGAAUUGACGGGGGCCCGCACAAGCGGAGGAACAUGUGGUUUAUUCGAUGAUACGCGAGGAACCUUACCCGGGCUUAAAUUGCAGAUGAAUUACGGUGAAAGCCGUAAGCCGCAAGGCAUCUGUGAAGUGCUGCAUGGUUGU